UUUUGAGAUAACCUCGAAUUAGGAGCAGUUCUACGAAAUUUUUUUAAACAAUAAUAUAACUUUAGGAGUCAAGCAAAUACAUUGAUUUUAUUUAGAUACCCUCCACCCAUCUUAAAGAAAUGAACUACAAACGAUUAUUUGCUAUUUCCUUAAGGGAGAUGGAAGGCACUGAUUUCCUGGAAGGUUGUGCCAUCAUGUUGUAUGCAGUUUGCGUUGUCGUAAAUAAGGCGUAGGAACGGAUGCUAUUAUUGUGAAUGCUGGGACGACUGGGACAAAAAAAUUUAAUAAAUUAUUUAAAUGUAAAAUUUACGCAAAAAAACAUGUUUGUAUACCAUUUAUCCUAUCAUUUUUUUCCAUUAUAUAUUGCUUGAGAAAAAAUCAUAU